rnacentral:rRNA from 1 species
GAGUUUGAUCAUGGCUCAGAAUCAACGCUGGCGGCGUGCCUCAGACAUGCAAGUCGAACGAUUAAAGCUCUCUUCGGAGAGUGUAUAGAGUGGCGCACGGGUGAGUAACACGUAAGUAAUCUACCCUCGAGUGGGGAAUAACAGUCGGAAACGACUGCUAAUACCGCAUAAUGCAGCGGCACCGCAAGGUGGCAGUUGUUAAAGAUUUAUCGCUUGAGGAGGAGCUUGCGGCAGAUUAGCUAGUUGGUAAGGUAAUGGCUUACCAAGGCUACGAUCUGUAACCGGUCUAAGAGGACGGUCGGUCACACUGACACUGAAUAACGGGUCAGACUCCUACGGGAGGCAGCAGUCGGGAAUUUUGGGCAAUGGGCGAAAGCCUGACCCAGCAACGCCGCGUGAAGGAUGAAGUAUUUCGGUAUGUAAACUUCGAAAGAAUGGGAAGAAUAAAUGACGGUACCAUUUAUAAGGUCCGGCUAACUACGUGCCAGCAGCCGCGGUAAUACGUAGGGACCAAGCGUUGUUCGGAUUUACUGGGCGUAAAGGGCGCGUAGGCGGCGUGACAAGUCACUUAUGGAAUCUCUGAGCUUAACUCAGAACGGCCAAGUGAAACUGUUGUGCUAGAGUGCAGAAGGGGCAAUCGGAAUUCUUGGUGUAGCGGUGAAAUGCGUAGAUAUCAAGAGGA